GUGGGGAAUCUUCCGCAAUGGACGAAAGUCUGACGGAGCAACGCCGCGUGAGUGAUGAAGGUCUUCGGAUUGUAAAGCUCUGUUAAUCGGGACGAAAGAGCCUAGUGUGAAUAAUGCUAGGAAGUGACGGUACCGGAAUAGAAAGCCACGGCUAACUACGUGCCAGCAGCCGCGGUAAUACGUAGGUGGCAAGUGUUGUCCGGAAUUAUUGGGCGUAAAGCGCGCGCAGGCGGAUCUGCCAGUCUGUCUUAAAAGUUCGGGGCUUAACCCCGUGAUGGGAUGGAAAAUACAGAUCUAGAGUAUCGGAGAGGAAAGUGGAAUUCCUAGUGUAGCGGUGAAAUGCGUAGAUAUUAGGAAGAACACCAGUGGCGAAGGCGACUUUCUGGACGAAAACUGACGCUGAGGCGCGAAAGCCAGGGGAGCGAACGGGAUUAGAAACCCGGGUAGUCC
rnacentral:rRNA from 1 species